AACCCGUUAAACUGUAUAUCAUACUUAAGUUAUAGAUCACAUUUAUUAUCGGAAAAUGAUGAAUCGAUGUUCCUAUUGGCUCCGACCAAACGCCAUGACGUGAUCAUUACGCUUCCUCUUUGUAGAAGAGAAGGCGGUCAUCCUCGACGGUCGAUGCAUCUGCACCUUCACGAUCCAGGAGUGACAGGGACAGAGCAGCUCCGCCUGCAUGUGGACGCAUCUGCAGAAAGAUGAAGUAAUUUAGAGUUUACAACGGAUACGGAUCCACGUUGAUUUAGGUGGACAAACGAUGAUGCAUUUUGCUCCAGAGAUUAUAAAAAAGGAAAUGAACUCCUAUACCUUUUAAGAUGGUGUUAGUUA
rnacentral:lncRNA from 1 species